rnacentral:lncRNA from 1 species
AUGGGAACAACAACUACACCUAUAGAAACAACUACAGAAAAGCCAACUACAGAGAGUGUUGGGACAACUACAUCACCAAAAGUCACCACUGGCCCUGUGACAACUUCUACAACAUCUAUAGUUGAAACUACAACCUCAGUGCAAGGGGUCACAACAACAAGCCCUGAAACAACAGUUGUAACAUCAACACCUUCUGUUGGUACCACAACCACUGAAGUACCAUCAGUAACGACUACGGAAACAACAACUACACCUUCAGAAACAACUACAGAAAAGCCAACUACAGAGAGUGUUGGGACAACUACAUCACCAAAAGUCACCACUGGCCCUGUGACAACUUCUACAACAUCUAUAGUUGAAACUACCACCUCAGUGCCAGGUGUCACAACAACAAGCCCUGAAACAACAGUUGUAACAUCAACACCUUCUGUUGGUACCACAACCACUGAAGUAACGUCAGUAACGACUACGGGAACAACAACUUCACCUUCAGAAACAACUACAGAAAAGCCAACUACAGAGAGUGUUGGGACAACUACAUCACCAAAAGUCACCACUGGCCCUGUGACAACUUCUACAACAUCUAUAGUUGAAACUACAACCUCAGUGCAAGGGGUCACAACAACAAGCCCUGAAACAACAGUUGUAACAUCAACACCUUCUGUUGGUACCACAACCACUGAAGUACCAUCAGUAACGACUACGGAAACAACAACUACACCUUCAGAAACAACUACAGAAAAGCCAACUACAGAGAGUGUUGGGACAACUACAUCACCAAAAGUCACCACUGGCCCUGUGACAACUUCUACAACAUCUAUAGUUGAAACUACAACCUCAGUGCCAGGUGUCACAACAACAAGCCCUGAAACAACAGUUGUAACAUCAACACCUUCUGUUGGUACCACAACCACUGAAGUACCGUCAGUAACGACUACGGGAACAACAACUACACCUUCAGAAACAACUACAGAAAAGCCAACUACAGAGAGUGUUGGGACAACUACAUCACCAAAAGUCACCACUGGCCCUGUGACAACUUCUACAACAUCUAUAGUUGAAACUACAACCUCAGUGCCAGGUGUCACAACAACAAGCCCUGAAACAACAGUUGUAACAUCAACACCUUCUGUUGGUACCACAACCACUGAAGUACCAUCAGUAACGACUACGGGAACAACAACUACACCUAUAGAAACAACUACAGAAAAGCCAACUACAGAGAGUGUUGGAACAACUACAUCACCAAAAGUCACCACUGGCCCUGUGACAACUUCUACAACAUCUAUAGUUGAAACUACAACCUCAGUGCCAGGUGUCACAACAACAAGCCCUGAAACAACAGUUGUAACAUCAACACCUUCUGUUGGUACCACAACCACUGAAGUACCGUCAGUAACGACUACGGGAACAACAACUACACCUUCAGAAACAACUACAGAAAAGCCAACUACAGAGAGUGUUGGGACAACUACAUCACCAAAAGUCACCACUGGCCCUGUGACAACUUCUACAACAUCUAUAGUUGAAACUACAACCUCAGUGCAAGGUGUCACAACAACAAGCCCUGAAACAACAGUUGUAACAUCAACACCUUCUGUUGGUACCACAACCACUGAAGUACCGUCAGUAACGACUACGGGAACAACAACUACACCUUCAGAAACAACUACAGAAAAGCCAACUACAGAGAGUGUUGGGACAACUACAUCACCAAAAGUCACCACUGGCCCUGUGACAACUUCUACAACAUCUAUAGUUGAAACUACAACCUCAGUGCCAGGUGUCACAACAACAAGCCCUGAAACAACAGUUGUAACAUCAACACCUUCUGUUGGUACCACAACCACUGAAGUACCGUCAGUAACGACUACGGGAACAACAACUACACCUUCAGAAACAACUACAGAAAAGCCAACUACAGAGAGUGUUGGGACAACUACAUCACCAAAAGUCACCACUGGCCCUGUGACAACUUCUACAACAUCUAUAGUUGAAACUACAACCUCAGUGCCAGGUGUCACAACAACAAGCCCUGAAACAACAGUUGUAACAUCAACACCUUCUGUUGGUACCACAACCACUGAAGUACCAUCAGUAACGACUACGGGAACAACAACUACACCUUCAGAAACAACUACAGAAAAGCCAACUACAGAGAGUGUUGGGACAACUACAUCACCAAAAGUCACCACUGGCCCUGUGACAACUUCUACAACAUCUAUAGUUGAAACUACAACCUCAGUGCCAGGUGUCACAACAACAAGCCCUGAAACAACAGUUGUAACAUCAACACCUUCUGUUGGUACCACAACCACUGAAGUACCGUCAGUAACGACUACGGGAACAACAACUACACCUUCAGAAACAACUACAGAAAAGCCAACUACAGAGAGUGUUGGGACAACUACAUCACCAAAAGUCACCACUGGCCCUGUGACAACUUCUACAACAUCUAUAGUUGAAACUACAACCUCAGUGCCAGGUGUCACAACAACAAGCCCUGAAACAACAGUUGUAACAUCAACACCUUCUGUUGGUACCACAACCACUGAAGUACCGUCAGUAACGACUACGGGAACAACAACUACACCUUCAGAAACAACUACAGAAAAGCCAACUACAGAGAGUGUUGGGACAACUACAUCACCAAAAGUCACCACUGGCCCUGUGACAACUUCUACAACAUCUAUAGUUGAAACUACAACCUCAGUGCCAGGUGUCACAACAACAAGCCCUGAAACAACAGUUGUAACAUCAACACCUUCUGUUGGUACCACAACCACUGAAGUACCGUCAGUAACGACUACGGGAACAACAACUACACCUUCAGAAACAACUACAGAAAAGCCAACUACAGAGAGUGUUGGACAACUACAUCACCAAAAGUCACCACUGGCCCUGUGA